rnacentral:rRNA from 1 species
UGAGGAAUAUUGGUCAAUGGGCGAGAGCCUGAACCAGCCAAGUAGCGUGCAGGAUGACUGCCCUAUGGGUUGUAAACUGCUUUUAUCAGGGAAUAAAGUGCGGCACGUGUGCCGUUUUGUAUGUACCUGAUGAAUAAGGACCGGCUAAUUCCGUGCCAGCAGCCGCGGUAAUACGGAAGGUCCGGGCGUUAUCCGGAUUUAUUGGGUUUAAAGGGAGCGCAGGCUGGAUUUUAAGCGUGUUGUGAAAUGUACCGGCUCAACCGGUGAUGUGCAGCGCGAACUGGAGUCCUUGAGUGAGUACGACGUCAGCGGAAUUCGUGGUGUAGCGGUGAAAUGCUUAGAUAUCACGAAGAACCCCGAUUGCGAAGGCAGCUGACGAGUCCUUAACUGACGCUAAAGCUCGAAAGUGCGGGUAUCGAACAGG